rnacentral:lncRNA from 1 species
UUUUCUUAAACUAUAAGUAAUAGGUCAACUAUAUAUAUUGUAUAGAAGCAUUCUUAGCUGUACAUGUCUGCCUGGCAUGGUUCAUCUGACCUUGACCUCAUUUUCAUGGUUCAUUGGUCUUUGUUUAGUUAUCUUGGUUAAUGUUAAGUUUAUGAGACAGUUGUAAUAAAGCUUUAUACUUAGGGCUAUCAACAUAAUAUCAAUGAUUAGUAAAGAAAGCAAGACAUUUCAGCGUGUGCACUCUUGUUUAAAAUUAUAUCUCAUAUUUUUAUAUAUAUAUCUACUGAAAAAAGCAGGAGUUGGUUUCACAAAAAAAAACUUGCGAUUAAGAUUGAUCGUAAGUCAUGAACAAAUCAGAAAAUUUACGAUAAAUCUAAAUCAUAAGUAUUUUUGUGAAAACGACUUCAGAUGUCUGAUAAACCUUGCUUUAAAACAUAAAAAGACUAUGGUGUGCCAUGAAAGCCACUUUGUUCUACCGUAUGAAUCUUUGUUAUCUCCUCUUGACCACCAUGUUUUAUUUAGAUACUUUUCAUACUUAAGUGUGUUGUGGGGCCAAUUGAUUUAUACAAACACAUCAGUGAUUUUAUGUUUUACCCCUUUGCUUAGAUUUACCUUCUUAUGUGAAAUAUAUACAUUCAUUAUCAUUUUAUAGUUUUUGUCAGCAAAUCAUUAACCAUAGUUAUCUCCCUUCAAUAUCAGGGUUAAUAACACCUCUGUCCUUUUCUUUCUAAGUUUACAUGCAUGUUAUUUGUUUAUUACAAAGAGAAAGGUCUGUAUAAUCCUUGUACUCUGAUAUAUAUUGUUAUAUACAAUUUAAUUGUGA